UGAUUUGAAGUGCUUGCACGGAUCUGACGUUGGUUUACCAACGAGUGGCGGACGGGUGAGUAACACGUAGGUAACCUGCCCAGAAGCGGGGGACAACACUUGGAAACAGGUGCUAAUACCGCAUAACAAUUCAAAUCGCAUGAUUUGAAUUUAAAAGAUGGUUUCGGCUAUCACUUCUGGAUGGACCUGCGGCGCAUUAGCUUGUUGGUGGGGUAAUGGCCUACCAAGGCAGUGAUGCGUAGCCGAGUUGAGAGACUGAUCGGCCACAAUGGGACUGAGACACGGCCCAUACUCCUACGGGAGGCAGCAGUAGGGAAUCUUCCACAAUGGGCGCAAGCCUGAUGGAGCAACACCGCGUGAGUGAAGAAGGUUUUCGGAUCGUAAAGCUCUGUUGUUGAAGAAGAACGUGCAUGAGAGUAACUGUUCAUGCAGUGACGGUAUUCAACCAGAAAGUCACGGCUAACUACGUGCCAGCAGCCGCGGUAAUACGUAGGUGGCAAGCGUUAUCCGGAUUUAUUGGGCGUAAAGAGAGUGCAGGCGGUUUCUUAAGUCUGAUGUGAAAGCCUUCGGCUCAACCGAAGAAGUGCAUCGGAAACUGGGAAACUUGAGUACAGAAGAGGGCAGUGGAACUCCAUGUGUAGCGGUGGAAUGCGUAGAUAUAUGGAAGAACACCAGUGGCGAAGGCGGCUGCCUGGUCUGUAACUGACGCUGAGACUCGAAAGCAUGGGUAGCGAACAGGAUUAGAUACCCUGGUAGUCCAUGCCGUAAACGAUGAGUGCUAGGUGUUGGAGGGUUUCCGCCCUUCAGUGCCGGAGCUAACGCAUUAAGCACUCCGCCUGGGGAGUACGACCGCAAGGUUGAAACUCAAAGGAAUUGACGGGGGCCCGCACAAGCGGUGGAGCAUGUGGUUUAAUUCGAAGCUACGCGAAGAACCUUACCAGGUCUUGACAUCUUGCGCCAACCCUAGAGAUAGGGCGUUUCCUUCGGGAACGCAAUGACAGGUGGUGCAUGGUCGUCGUCAGCUCGUGUCGUGAGAUGUUGGGUUAAGUCCCGCAACGAGCGCAACCCUUGUUACUAGUUGCCAGCAUUCAGUUGGGCACUCUAGUGAGACUGCCGGUGACAAACCGGAGGAAGGUGGGGACGACGUCAGAUCAUCAUGCCCCUUAUGACCUGGGCUACACACGUGCUACAAUGGACGGUACAACGAGCAGCGAACUCGCGAGGGCAAGCAAAUCUCUUAAAACCGUUCUCAGUUCGGAUUGCAGGCUGCAACUCGCCUGCAUGAAGUCGGAAUCGCUAGUAAUCGCGGAUCAGCAUGCCGCGGUGAAUACGUUCCCGGGCCUUGUACACACCGCCCGUCACACCAUGAGAGUUUGUAACACCCAAAGUCGGU
rnacentral:rRNA from 2 species